GCACACACGUUUACUCCAAUACAGAGUGUUCUAUGUUUAUUCCGUAUGUGAGCAAAUAUUCCCCAGUUUCUCGCGCGAAUUGCUUGUGUUUACUGUAUAUAACUCCAAGUUCAACUGCGUUUUGAAGCAAAAACUAAUAAUUAUUUAUUUAAUACAGUGAACGCUCGGAAUUCUUCACUUAUUACGUUCCUUCUAACAAAAUAUGAUCUUCGAGUUUUGGUAUUUUUAGCCGAAAAAAUUUAUCCCAGAGAACAUAAAUUGACUGUGAUAAUAAUUUUCAUUUGAUAUUUUUAUUUUCUAAUAAUUUUUAGUUUCACGAGAUCUCAAAACAUGUAGCUUUUAAUAAGGGUGAACAUGUUGAUUUCAUUCAUUGGAAUGGUUAUGGGUUCGGGUGGAAAUUGGUAUUCAUUGCCACUAAAUCGAUACACUAAGCUCAAGAUCAACGACACAAUCAAAGCAAUUUAUAAAUCUAUUGACGAUGGUAAGGAACAAGUUUUCAAUUUCUAUUCUCUAUUGAUAAUAACCAGAGUGAAACACAAUAUAGCCGUUCCAAUAAUCGUUUAGAUUACUUCUAGUAAUAUAUGAAAGACAUUAUGUGUAUUAUAAGUAUUCGCAGGGGGCAUGUCACUACUGAAAACUGGUUUUCAGUACUUUUCAGUACCUGCUAUCUAUUUUCAGUACCUAUUAUAUUUUUUCAGUAGCUGUAAAAUAAUCUUGAAAACGCCUUGAUAAAUGUGACGUGAUUAGUGUAUGCUUCUUGAAAAUGGAUGUUGAACGUAUUUAAUAAUAAACAAUAAAAUCAAUUAUUUACAAAUUUAGCC